rnacentral:rRNA from 1 species
GCGGGAAGAAGCUCAAAUUUGAAAUCUGGUAGCCUUCGGUUGCCCGAGUUGUAAUCUAGAGAAGUGUUUUCCGUGCCGGCCCAUGUACAAGUCCCUUGGAACAGGGCGUCAUAGAGGGUGAGAAUCCCGUCCUUGACAUGGACCCCCGGUGCUUUGUGAUACACUUUCAACGAGUCGAGUUGUUUGGGAAUGCAGCUCAAAAUGGGUGGUGAAUUCCAUCUAAAGCUAAAUAUUGGCGAGAGACCGAUAGCGAACAAGUACCGUGAGGGAAAGAUGAAAAGCACUUUGGAAAGAGAGUUAAACAGUACGUGAAAUUGUUGAAAGGGAAACGAUUGAAGUCAGUCAUGCUCUUGGGACUUACCUCCCUUGAGUGGGGUCAACAUCAGUUUUGAUCGAUGGAUAAAGGCACGGGGAAGGUAGCACUCUCGGGUGAACUUAUAGCCUCGCGUCAUAUACAUUGAUUGGGACUGAGGAACGCAGCAUGCCUUAUGGCCGGGAUUCGUCCACGUACAUGCUUAGGAUGUUGACAUAAUGGCUUUAAACGACCCGUCUU